rnacentral:rRNA from 1 species
CGAACGCUGGCGGCGCGCCUAACACAUGCAAGUCGAACGAGCGAGAGAGAGCUUGCUUUCUCGAGCGAGUGGCGAACGGGUGAGUAACGCGUGAGGAACCUGCCUCAAAGAGGGGGACAACAGUUGGAAACGACUGCUAAUACCGCAUAAGCCCACGGGUCGGCAUCGACCAGAGGGAAAAGGAGCAAUCCGCUUUGAGAUGGCCUCGCGUCCGAUUAGCUAGUUGGUGAGGUAAUGGCCCACCAAGGCGACGAUCGGUAGCCGGACUGAGAGGUUGAACGGCCACAUUGGGACUGAGACACGGCCCAGACUCCUACGGGAGGCAGCAGUGGGGAAUAUUGCACAAUGGGGGAAACCCUGAUGCAGCGACGCCGCGUGGAGGAAGAAGGUCUUCGGAUUGUAAACUCCUGUUGUUGGGGAAGAUAAUGACGGUACCCAACAAGGAAGUGACGGCUAACUACGUG